rnacentral:rRNA from 1 species
CAUGUACGCUGAUACGCCAUGCAGUCGAGCGAGGAAGCCCCUUCGGGGGUGGAAUAGCGGCGGACGGGUGAGUAACACGUGGGUAACCUGCCUCAAAGAGGGGGAUAGCCUCCCGAAAGGGAGAUUAAUACCGCAUAGAAGGUAAAAAUCGCAUGAUAAAUGCCUUAAAGGAGCAAUCCGCUUUGAGAUGGGCCCGCGUCGCAUUAGCUAGUUGGAGGGAUAAAAGCCCCCCAAGGCGACGAUGCGUAGCCGACCUGAGAGGGUGAACGGCCACAUUGGAACUGAGAUACGGUCCAGACUCCUACGGGAGGCAGCAGUGGGGAAUAUUGCACAAUGGGGGAAACCCUGAUGCAGCAACGCCGCGUGAGUGAAGAAGGUUUUCGGAUCGUAAAGCUCUGUCAUCCGGGACGAUAAUGACGGUACCGGAAGAGGAAGCCACGGCUAACUACGUGCCAGCAGCCGCGGUAAUACGUAGGUGGCGAGCGUUGUCCGGAAUUACUGGGCGUAAAGGGUGUGCAGGCGGAUAUUUAAGUGAGAUGUGAAAGACCCGGGCUUAACCCGGGCAGUGCAUUUCAAACUGGAUAUCUAGAGUGCAGGAGAGGAGAACGGAAUUCCUAGUGUAGCGGUGAAAUGCGUAGAGAUUAGGAAGAACACCAGUGGCGAAGGCGGUUCUCUGGACUGUAACUGACGCUGAGGCACGAAAGCGUGGGUAGCAAACAGGAUUAGAUACCCUGGUAGUCCACGCCGUAAACGAUGAGUACUAGGUGUAGGGGGUAUCGACCCCCCCUGUGCCGCAGUAAACACAAUAAGUACUCCGCCUGGGAAGUACGAUCGCAAGAUUAAAACUCAAAGGAAUUGACGGGGACCCGCACAAGCAGCGGAGCAUGUGGUUUAAUUCGAAGCAACGCGAAGACCUUACCUGGACUUUGACAUCCCCUGAUGACUCGUAUGAGGAGCCCUACGGGGCAGGGAGACAGGUGGUGCAUGCUUGUCGUCAGCUCGUGUCCUGAGAUGUUAGUUAAGUCUGCAC